UACGGGGGGGGCAAGCGUUGUUCGGAAUUACUGGGCGUAAAGGGCUCGUAGGCGGCCAACUAAGUCGGAUGUGAAAUCCCCCAGGCUCAACCUGGGAACUGCAUCCGAUACUGGAUGGCUUGAAUUCGGGAGAGGGAUGCAGAAUUCCAGGUGUAGGCGGUGAAAUGCGUAGAUAUACUGGAGGAAUACCGGUGGCGAAAGGCGGCAUCCUGGACCGACAUUGACGCUGAUGAGCGAAAGCUAGGGGAGCAAACGGG
rnacentral:rRNA from 1 species